ACUGCUGACGAGUCUCAAAUAGGACGAAACGCUCUUCCUGAAU
rnacentral:hammerhead_ribozyme from 1 species